GAGGGUAUAGCUCAGUGGUAGAGCACUGCUUAGCAUGCAUGAGGUCCUGGGUUCAAUCCCCAGUACUUCCA
rnacentral:tRNA from 1 species